UGAUGGCUGUUCCUCUCCUGCCAUGAAGAUAUUGGCAAGGGAUUUUAGGCUAUCAUAAAUCAAUGAAAAUUAUUCACCCAUGCUAGUAAGGGUUUGCUAAUCUUGAUUACUAUCAUGGUUUUGCAAUUUUCAACAUUU